GAUGAACGCUGGCGGCGUGCCUAAUACAUGCAAGUCGAGCGAACAGACGAGGAGCUUGCUCCUCUGACGUUAGCGGCGGACGGGUGAGUAACACGUGGAUAACCUACCUAUAAGACUGGGAUAACUUCGGGAAACCGGAGCUAAUACCGGAUAAUAUAUUGAACCGCAUGGUUCAAUAGUGAAAGACGGUUUUGCUGUCACUUAUAGAUGGAUCCGCGCCGCAUUAGCUAGUUGGUAAGGUAACGGCUUACCAAGGCAACGAUGCGUAGCCGACCUGAGAGGCUGAUCGGCCACACUGGAACUCAUACACGGGCCAGACCCCGACGGGAGGCAGCAGUAGGGAAUCUUCCGCAGUGGGCGAAAGCCUGGCGGAGCAACGCCGCGUGAGUCAUGAAGGUCUUCGGAUCGUAAAACGCUGUUAUUAGGGAAGAACGAAUGUGUAAGUAACUGUGCACGUCUUGACGGUACCUAAUCAGAAAGCCACGGCUAACUACCUG
rnacentral:rRNA from 1 species